GACGAACGCUGGCGGCGUGCUUAACACAUGCAAGUCGAACGAUGAAGCCGGAGCUUGCUCUGGCGAAUUAGUGGCGAACGGGUGAGUAACACGUGAGUAACCUGCCCUUGACUCUGGGAUAACUGCGGGAAACUGUAGCUAAUACCAGAUACGACCCUCGGAGGCAUCUCCUGGGGGUGGAAAGAAUUUCGGUCAAGGAUGGACUCGCGGCCUAUCAGCUAGUUGGUGAGGUAAAGGCUCACCAAGGCGACGACGGGUAGCCGGCCUGAGAGGGUGACCGGCCACACUGGGACUGAGACACGGCCCAGACUCCUACGGGAGGCAGCAGUGGGGAAUAUUGCACAAUGGGCGCAAGCCUGAUGCAGCAACGCCGCGUGAGGGAUGACGGCCUUCGGGUUGUAAACCUCUUUUAGCAGGGAAGAAGCGAAAGUGACGGUACCUGCAGAAAAAGCACCGGCUAACUACGUGCCAGCAGCCGCUGUAA
rnacentral:rRNA from 1 species